AUGGAGAACAAUCACGUUGAUCUCCCGAUUUUGAUCCAUCGCAAUUUAUUAUGUAUCCUUACCCUCUUUGCAUCUGUGAUUGUUAGUAUUGUGAAGAAAAAGUGCAAAUUUUGCUAUGAAAAAAGUACUGGGAUCAGGCAAUCAGGUAAGACAAAGAAUGACAAAAUGGAAAAACUUGCAGAUACAUUGAGUCAAAUAGGGUAUGAACACUGGCUGCUCACUGGAAUCACCUGGAACUUUAAGAAAAAAAAAAAAAAAAAAUCAAUGCCCAGAAAUUGUACUGAAUUGGGUGGGCAUAUAGUUUCUCAAGCUCCCUGGGAGUUUUUACUAACAGUCAGGGUUAUAAGUCACUAUGCCACAGAAGAGCAGCACCCACUUCAGAUACCCUAUUAGUCUAAUGCAGUGGUUUUCAAAGUGUAGUUCAUGGAUUUAUGCAGUUAAAACUACAUUUAUAUAUCUUUUUGGAUCCACCUACUAGAGUAAUGAAAAUAAAAACAAAAAUAAACAAAUGAGACCUAAUCAAACUUAAAAGCUGUGGCACAGUAAAGGAAACCAUAAGCAAAAUGAAAAGACAACCCAAAGACUGGAAGAAAAUAUUUGCAAACAAAGCAACUGACAAGGGAUUAAUCUUCAAAAUAUACAAACAGCAAUAUCAAAAGAACCCAAUCAAACAAUGAGCAGCUGAUCUAAAAACGUUUCUUCAAACAAGACAUACAGGUGGCCAAAAAACACAUGUAAAAUGCCUAACAUUGCUAAUUAUUAAAGAAGUGCAAAUCAAAACUACAAUGAGGUAUCACUUCACACUGGUUAGAAUGGCCAUCAUCAAAAAGUAAACAAACAAUAAAUGCUGCAGAAGGUGUGAAGAAAAAGGAACGCUCCUACACUGCUGGUGGGAAUGUAAAUUGGUAUAGCUGCUACAGAGAACAGUACCCAUGUUCCUUCAAAAACUAAAAAUAGAUAUGUUCUAGCAAUUCCACUCCUUGACAUACAUCCAGAGACAACCAUUAUUUUGAAAAGAUACAUGCACCCCAAUGUUCACUGCAGCACUGUUUACAAUAACCAAGACAUCAAAGCAACCUAAUGUCCAUCAACAGAGAAAAGGAUAAAGAUGUGGUACAUAUAUACAAUGUAGUAUUAUGCAGUCAUAAAAAGAAUGAAAUAAUGCCAUUUGCAGCAACAUGGAUGGACCUAGAGAUCAUUGUACUAAGUGAAGGCAGAGAAAGAAAAAUAUCAUAUGCUAUCACUUAUAUGUGGAAUCUGAAAAAAAUGAUAAAAUGCACUUAUUUACAAAACAGAAAUGGAUUCACAGGCUUUGAAAACAAACUUAUGGUUACCCAAGUAGAAAGGUGGUGGUGGGGGAGAUAAAUUAGGAGCUAAGGAUUAACAUACACACACUGCUAUACAUAAAAAAGAAAACCCACAAGGACCUACUGCAUAACACAGGGAACUCUACUCGAUAUUCUGUAAUGACCCAUAUGGGAAAAGAAUCUGAAAAAUAGAUGUAACUGAAUCAUUUUGCUGUACACCUGAAACUAACACAACACUAUAAAUCAGCUAUACUCCAACACAAAAAUUAGAAAAAAGAGAAAAAAAAAAGAUCCAGGCCCAAUUUCUCUAGUGGCAUUCUCAUCUUUUCACUGCUUAACUUCCUUUGUCUAUCUAAAGGAUAGAGAAUGCUUUCCUAGCUCUUGGUAAUGACUCCUUUCUUAUUAUUCAUUGCUUAAUAUACAGGUCAGAGUGUUACCUCCUUGGAGAUGUCUCCCCACCAGUUCCCAGCCACAAUUACUCUUUCCUCUGUUUCUAACAUCUUCUUUGUACCUCAGCUGCAAGAUGAAGGAAAGUAUUCCACAAUCUUUUUCUGACACUGAAUUUAACUAUAAAAUGUGAGCAAUACGUCCUACUUGGCAGGGUCUGUGAGAAUUAAAUGAGAAUAUCUGUAAGUCACUUAACACAUCAACAAAAGAAGAAAUGAAGAUAAGCUUCCUCAGGUUAAUCAAGCAAAGGAUGAGAACUGGGAAUGACUGGACCUUCUGUGGCUCAUUCUAAAGCCCAUGUUCUUUCCAGCUCACAUGUCAUCUCUCUAUGUCCUGGCAAGUAACACAUAAAAUUUACUUAUGUAAUACUCUCCCCCACUAGGCUGUAAAGUCUUUGAAGACGAUGUUUUAAUUGACUUUGUAUCCCCUUUCUCUCAUUCAUUUUAGUACCAACUCUAACUAACACUGUGAUGUAGAAAUUUAAAGACCUAGUCUCUACUUUAAGAGCUGUGCCUAGAGAGGGGAGAAAUAUAGGCAACAUUUUACUGCUGUUUUCUAUCCAAGAAGGACACUGGGGGUGGUACAUGGACCACAGUUGUCCAAGUGGAUACAUAAAAGGAGAAGAAAAUAAAGGUAUAGGGAAGGCUUCUUGGGAAGACAUGCAACUUGAGAUGAAUCUUAAAGAACAUUAAGAGUUGGAGAGGGAAAGGGAUUCUGGAAUUCUUAAAAGCAUUAAUAAAAGUAUUAAUUCAGCUGUGGCACAGGUUUAGUCCCUGGCCUGGGAACUUCUACAUGUGUCAGGUGUGCCCUCCCAAAAAACUAUUAAUUUAUAAACGACAUAAUUAGGAAACGGUAUAUGCUGAUAAUUGUAAAUUAUUCUUGCUGAUAAACACUUUGUAGUUUUGAGAUGCAUUUUAAAAAAUGGAUUAAUUAGGAGUUCCCGUCGUGGCGCAGUGGCGCAGUGGUUAACGAAUCCGACUAGGAACCAUGAGGUUGCAGGUUCGGUCCCUGCCCUUGCUCAGUGGGUUAAUGAUCCGGCGUUGCCGUGAGCUGUGGUGUAGGUUGCAGACGCGGCUCGGAUCCUGCGUUGCUGUGGCUCUGGCGUAGGCUGGUGGCUACAGCUCCAAUUCGACCCCUAGCCUGGGAACCUCCAUAUGCCGAGGAAGCGGCCCAAGAAAUAGCAACAACAACAACAACAACAACAACAAAAUUGAUUAAUUAACAUACAGUAAUUCAGAUUUAAUCACUGGGCUACCUCACAAAUACACCAAGUGAAGGUACAAACUCAAAAAAAAACCCUCAUUGUGUAGCUCUUCCAACUGCAAUGUACUUUUUCUAAAAUGUUGACAUCCUAAGCUCAUAGGAAUAGAGCAGGAAUAAUUAAUUACCUGGCAGUUGUUUCUAUUUUCCAUCCAUGUUUGAUUGGCAUAUUAUAUUUGAGAGCAACAAAUUACUAAGGUAUAUUUUAUCCUCAGUUAUGUUUUUCUGGUUUUUUUUUUUUUUUUUUUUUUUUUUACCUCAGCAUGAAAACUUUCAGUAUCUGGACUUUAAAAUAAGUUUGAGUCCUAGCUUCAUUACCUACUAAGUGUAUGACCCCAAGCACAUUAGUGUCCUUGUGUCUGACUUCCUCUACCUGUAAACAACACAUUUAGAAAUCUGAGCUUGAAAUAAUACUUAUUUUUUCAAAUGCAACCUAGCACAUACCAGGCACUAAUAAAUAAGAACUAUUAUUGUUAUUUUGAAAAAACAAGUAUGGCCAGACAGUUCAAGUACCUUUAAUUUUAAACACAGCGUGUAUCUUGCUUCUAGAUUGUAUAUACGACAAUAAGAUGAGGAAAUAAGAAUCUAUACUUGACUGUACUGUGAGCAAAAUAAUGCAACUUCAGCCUUAAGGAUAGGCAAGAAUUAAUAGUAAGAGGGUCUCUAUUCUUUGGAUUGAAAAAGGAACCACAUUUUCUAACUUUAACAGCUCACUAGUGACACAAGUGUAUCCAUUCUAUCAUGUGGUAGGUGAGAAAAGAAGCUGGACGAGGAAGGAAUAACCUGCCAAUAAACUGCCAUCUCCUCUAUAAAUGGUAAACUACUCCAGGUAAGAGACUAUGACUUAUGCCCCAGCUAUAAUCUAAGAGGCUGACAUAAAGCAAACAACAACUAAUGAGUUUUUGAUUAAAUGUCUAAGGAUUUUGCGCUGUAUGGGAUUCUCCAGGAACUUUGGGGAACACAAACUCAGCAACGUUUCACUGUACAAGAGCUUCUGGGGGCUGCUUUUGAUACUAUCAUAAUAUCUGCAGAAAUAUGCUCAAACACGCAAUAUCUGGCACAUGGACUUCAUAAAUUAACCACGAGGGUGUGGUGUACAGGCUGCUGGCAUUUACUCUAACAAAGGUAAAAAUGAAGACAUAGCUUGGGAUAUUUUGCUAUUACUAUUGAUUAUUAUAUCUGUCCUCUGACCACGUUGGCUUUAUCUAUUUUUCUCGGCCUGGAGAUGUAAGCAUUCCUUUGCGAACUUUCGUGACUUAUUUCAAGCUUUUCUAAGGCCCAAAUAUUAAAAGAAUCUGCAUUAAGGCAAAAUAACAUAAAAAACUUAAUAUGAAGAAGGGAAGGCCCGAGGCCAGACACCAUUCCAAACACAUUAAGUUCCUAGAAGAGAAACCACCUUCGGAAACAACUCCCAUCAUUAAAAUAUAGCUUGUAAAGUAGCAUCUUUAAAGUUGAUAGAAUGGAACAGUAGGAACGUAGAAGGCCACUAAUUCAACAGGUGAAAGUUAAGGUGUGGCAUUUGGGGUUUAUUGGACAACACUGAAACACAUUUGGGUCAGGCCUGCAGGGAGUGAAGGAGGCAAAAAAUAAUACGGGCAAACCCAGGCACCCCUAAGGCCUCAAAGGAUCAGGGACCACAGAGAGUCUAGGUAACCAACGGGGCUAAGCCAAACUACUGCAUCUCUUCCAAACAAGAGAGGAAAUGGCCUCUGAGUGAGGUAGGGCCGUAGGCCCUGGUUCUCCCUGCUUGGACGUGCAGGGGCCACAUGGCUCCCGGACCUGUGCAUCCUCCGUGCCCCGCGAGAAUCAAGUUAGAGGCAGAGCUCCCUGGCCAAGGACUCGGGGCCGCCGCCCAACCUUCCAGCCCUAGUUCGGUCCCGUAUCCCCUUUACAAGCUCAGCCGCGACCCCGCAGCCCCGGUUCUUACCAUAGUGAGGCCGGCGAAGCCCCAGCCACAUCACUCUUCCGGGCUCGGGGCGGAAGAGGCGUGCACGCCCGGCUUGCCUUUCUCGCUCCUUCCCGCGGUCCGGUUGGGUCUGUCAGGGUACCGCCUCCUGAGCCCAGCG
rnacentral:lncRNA from 9 species